UCCCGUAAUAAUGCCAAACCUUCAGUGGUAAACGUAUUAUUCUCGACUGAAGGGCUGAAGCUGACAAACUUCUGUUCUUAGAACCUACCUGUGAGGGGAGGGUUUGAUCUCUACAGAUACGGUUUCUGCCAGUGGUGCUGUGAUGGUGACUUUGGUUCAGCCAAAUUUAUGGACGUUUAUUUCUGGGACGCCGGAGUUCUGUCCGUGGUUUAUCAGCGGGUUCCGUUUAUUUCGGAUCCCUGGGCUGAAUCUGUGGGUGCUCACUCAGAUGGUGACUCAGUUCUCCAGACAUGGGUUCAGAUGCCAGUUGAUCAGAUUGACUUUGGGUUUCAGAUGGUUGUGAUCAGAGUUCAAGCCGAAGCU
rnacentral:lncRNA from 1 species